GGCCUAUCGAUCCUUUAGACCUUCGG
rnacentral:snRNA from 1 species